GGACUGAGAAAAGACUCACAACAAUCGUUCCCUGCAGCCCUCAACUCCAGGCUUUGUAAUUCAGCAUUUGGCGAGUCUUGAGUAGAAGGAAAAAGGAUGUGACUGAAAGAAUGUUUCCUAUGGGGAAGAAAUGGUGUGUGUGAUGGAGGAAGAAGGACCAGCCCAGAUCUUCCUCCUAUUCAGCUCUCCAAGUCAAAUCCCCGGUGCCGGACACUUAGCUCUAUAGACGCCAGAGGGAGCCCUCUCCUCUCAUGUGCCAGGACUCCGAAGAUUAACUAGCUCAGACUGUGAAGCCCAGGAAUUUGGUUCUUUGGAUACCUAAGCACACACCCAAUCUGCUUUGCAUAUUCCUUCCAAUAGCUCCCUCCAGCUCAGAAAUUGGAUAAAGGGCAUUGCAGCUUCUGGGGUUUCUGCUAAUCUUCCAGCAGCUUUGAAGAUGGUGUCCCCCACACAACUCCUGGGCUUGUUAGUACUCUGGAUCCCUGGUUCUCAAGGACAGAUUGUGGUGACUCAGUCUCCAUCUUUAGUGACUGUAUUUCUGGGGGAGACUGUCAAUAUAAAUUGUAGAACCAGUAAGAGUGUGACUCAGGAGGGAGGUUAUCAUUCCCUCCAUUGGUAUCAACAGAAGCCAGGACAAGGACCUAAACUGAUCAUGCACGGGGCAUUUAAUCCCGUCCCUGGCCUCUCACCCAGGUUCAUAGGCUCUGAUGACACUUUCUUAGGAGAUGAUUUCACUCUCACAAUACGCAGUGUGGAAACUGAAGAUGCUGCAGAUUAUUAUUGCCAGCAAGGCUAUAGCCGCCUUUACCACAUUGUUUCAGCCUUGAACAAAAAGCCCCCUAAAUCAACUCGUUUGCUGUCCUACCUGCUUCCCUUUCCUCCUUCAGCGGCAGCUGCAGGACCACUCAAGGGCAAAGUAUGUGGAUGUCUUUUAGAAGCUCCUGCAGAUUCAAGACUUGCCAACUUCAAGACUUGCCCUUCAAAGUUGUUAUUGUUGUGUGCCUUUUAAUGUUGUAGCCAUUGGAACUCUAAUCCUAAUCCUAAAUCCAUGCUCUUCCUCAUUCUUAGCCAAUGAGGGCAGAGCCAAAUCUGAUUAUCCUAAAAUUAGUUUUUUCCUUCCUUCCUUUCUUUCUUCCUUUUUUCCUUCCUUUCCUUUCUUCCUUCCUUCCACCCUUCCUUCCUUCCACUCUUUCACUCUUCCUUCCACUCUUUUUUCUUUCUUCUAUUCUUUCUUCUAUUUUCUUCCAGUCUUUUUCUUCUAGUCUUCCUUCCUUCCUUUCUCUCCCUCUCUCUUUCUUUCUUUCUCCAUUACUUUCUGACCUAGAAUCAACAUUACGUUUCUGUUCCAAAGCGGAAGAGCAGUGAGAGCUAAGCAAUGGGGGUUAAAUGCCUUUCUCUGGGUUACCCACCUAGGAAGUAUCUGAAUCCAAAUUUGAAUCCAGGACCUCCUAUUUCUAAUCAUGGUUCUCAAUUUACCUAGUCACCUAGCUGACCCAGAUCAGUUUUCUUGUACAGGUCCUCUCAUUUUAGUCUGGAUGACCAUACUGAUUUGAAUAGGUUGGCUCAAUCUCUGGUUUCUCUCUCAGACUCAUGAUAGGCCAGGGCAGAUUCUAGCCUUAGCCAGUUUCUUCUUCUCCUUGUAAUAGCCCUAACUAGGAAUUUGUUCUGUCUUUCACUGUGGCAAUGAAGAGCCUUUAGAGAUUGUCAGAAAUCACACUAGUCUCCUACACACCUCCACCACCACCCAUUGUCCUAAGGUACAAAUAUUAUGUUAGUCCUAUCUUCUGCUGUGACUCCCAGUGGUCUGAUGAGUGCUUGGCCAGGCCCUGUCUCCUCUUAUAAUAAGCUAUGGAUUCCAGUUCUAUUCCCCACUUUUGUUCUGGUGGGCUAGGGUUGAGAUCUAACUCUAGAUUCACAAAUAAUGAGCUCAUUCUGGUUUGCAACCCCUAUCCCAUUCAGAACCAUGGUCAGCUCCAGGUAUCUUUGGAGGCUUCUUAUUUGCAGAUCCUUCUACCUGCCUCUUCAUUUCCCUUUUCACCAGAACUCCUGUGCAGUUCGGGACUAGAUGGAGGGACUUGUUUCUUUUGUAUUUUCUUUAUCAUUAGUCUUCUUAUAAUCUUUUUCAGAUAUUUGCUGGAAGAAUUGGUUUUCUCUGUGACCUUUUGUUAUCAUCUUAAGGUGUCAUAAGAUUGUACUAAAGAGUUGUUAUUAUAACCUAGUGCUGUCCUUGGCUGCCUUCUCCAUCCUUGUAAAAAGAUUCCAAAUUUUCUUCCUAAGGUGGUACUGAGGCUCUUUGAAUCUCCUUCUUACAUAAGUUCAUUCUCUUUAGGAGAUGCUGACAUUCUUUGUUCAUAUGUUCCUUUAUCCAUUUUUUCCCUUUUUUUAUGUCAAGUCAGUUAAUUUUUUUUUUCAAAUUUGAUGUCAUUGUCCCAUUUUUAUUUCUUAAAUUUGGAAUUGAUUUGAUUUUUGCUUUAACAGAGUUGAUGGUCUUAUCAACAAAUAGCUGAUUCCAAAUGACUCAUGCAUUGGUAACCAGUCAUUUCGAGACUAUCAUUUUUUUGUAGCUUUAUUUAGUGUUUUGCAUUGCUAGUGCCUACAAACACCUUUUUUGAAGAAAGUAUUUUCAGAACAUAGGUAAUAAAACUGCUCUACAAAUAAGCCUUUGGCUUCCUUGGCUUCCUAAUCCCAUGCCAUAUUUUCUACCAUUCUCUCUUAUACUGAAGUUACCUAGUAUUGAAGUUGGAGAGGGAAAUGGCCAACCAUUCCAGUAUCUUUGCCAAGAAAACCCAAAAUGGCGUCACAUUAAAGUAUAUAUUGGCUUAACUUGGAGCAUCUUAUUGAGUUCUUCAUAGAAUUUUUCUCUCAUAAUCUCAUAUAAUAAAUGUUGGCCCAGAAGCUGCAAUUAUCUUUGUUAGUCUUUUUUUACAUAAAUGUGUAUAUAUUAAACAGUUUUACUUUGUACCAUAUACCACAGCAAAUUCUCCCAAUGAUUAUCCAUUUUCCUUAAAGUUUCCUCAGAGGGGAGAGAGAAGCUUUAAGGUAGGAAGAUAGAGAAAGGAUAGAAGUUUAAGAUACCACGAGGGGGAUGACGGAGUCGAAGUAGAGAUAUGAGGUGGCAGGAAUGAGUCUUUAUUAAUUACCAAUGAGUCACAGCCAAGCUCUGAUCAAAGCGCCCUUCCGAAGGCUUUUACCAGUCCAGAGAUCCAGAUUCAAUACCACACAGGUCAGAGAGAUGAUAGAGAAAGAUUAGAGAUGGAGCCUGGCCAAAGGCCAAAGGCCAGGCUCCAGCAAGGACAGGCAUCAGUGCAAGCUGGAAAAGAGGAAGAGCAGAAGAGAGAAAGGCGGAGCUGGCUGAGGCAUACUUAAUCUUUUUGAUAUGCAAAUAUACACAGUACACAGGGAUGAUCAUCAUUGGUUAAUGACAAGGUAUAGGUGUGGUUUCUCUCAACCAGGUGAGCAAAAAGAAACCUGUGUUCCUGCCUAACCUGGGAGAAGCUGGGGUCAAGGGUCAUAGGUUUUCCCAGCCAUGUGCAAUACUGAGCAUGCUUUUAAGGCAAUCUGUACAUACCAACUGUUCCCCUUGCCCAUAGCUAGGGGUGGACUGCUACAUUCCUCAUCAACAUUUAAUAAGUAUCCAUAAUUUUCCUCUUCAAUUUCAUGAGGUUUAUUGUAUUUUAAUAUUGUAUUUUAAAAAUAUUUAAACAUCAAAAUCACAUAAAGAGGACAUCUAACAAAUCAUAACUUGUUCCCUUUUUGCCUUUGGUUUUUCCCCACACUAUUUGCUGGGGGUUUUUUCAAAUGUAUAUCCUUGGUUUUUUUGUCAUUGUGUUUGGGGUCUUCUCUAUUUUUCUUAAGUUAUAAUAAUUAUUUUCCAAUAUUUCAUAUAGAUCUUUCAAAAUUUCUUUAGAGUUCUCAACCUUUAUUUAGUAAUCUAGAACUUUCCUAUGCUACAUAUUACUCAACCAUUCUGUGAUUAUAAUACAUUCUAAUUAUUCCAUUGUCUUUUUUCAAAAAAACAGAUAUUUAACUUUUUCCUCUAUAAAAUACUUUCUGGUAUUAUUGAGUACAAGGUAUGGUUUUUCAUAACUAUUACAAUUUGCUUACAGAUUUAUCUUUAAAAAGAUUCUCCUAGUUGAAAUUACCUGUAUAAUGUCUACCUAUAUCUCUAUAACAGUCAGUAUUGACUUUUAUAAUUUUAAAAUAUUUUGCCAUUUUCAUUCAUGUCAUGUAAAACUUGAUAGUUGUUUUAUUUUUCACUUAUCUAAGUACUUGUCAAUUUAUCUUUCUUUUUAAGAGGUGAUUUUCAAAAAAAUAUUCUUUUGUAAAUUCCUUACAUAUAGUAUGAUCAUGACCACUUGUAUUUUUGGAAGUUGGGUCUUGCUUUCAAUAUUUUUACAAUUAAAAUUCAUUUUAGA